rnacentral:rRNA from 1 species
GCAGUAGCCACGGGAAUACGAAGGGUGCAAGCGUUAAUCGGAAUUACUGGGCGUAAAGCGCGCGUAGGUGGUUUGUUAAGUUGGAUGUGAAAUCCCCGGGCUCAACCUGGGAACUGCAUCCAAAACUGGCAAGCUAGAGUAUGGUAGAGGGUGGUGGAAUUUCCUGUGUAGCGGUGAAAUGCGUAGAUAUAGGAAGGAACACCAGUGGCGAAGGCGACCACCUGGACUGAUACUGACACUGAGGUGCGAAAGCGUGGGGAGCAAACAGGAUUAGAUACCCCCGUAGUCCCUGUCUCUUAUAC